ACGGGGAGCACCACAACAGGUGGAGCCUGCGGUUUAAUCGGACUCAACGCCGGGAAACUCACCAGAUAAGACAGCUGAAUGAUAGUCGGGCUGAAGACUCUACUUGACUAGCUGAGAGGAGGUGCAUGGCCGUCGUCAGUUCGUACUGUGAAGCAUCCUGUUAAGUCAGGCAACGAGCGAGACCCACGCCAACAGUUGCCAGCUCGUCCUCCGGGAUGGUGGGGGACACUGUUGGGACCGCCUCUGCUAAAGAGGAGGAAGGAAUGGGCAACGGUAGGUCAGCAUGCCCCGAAUUAUCUGGGCUACACGCGGGCUACAAUGGGUGGGACAAUGGGUAUCGACACCGAAAGGUGAAGGCAAUCUCCUAAACCCAUCCGUAGUUCGGAUUGUGGGCUGCAACUCGCCCACAUGAAGCUGGAAUCUGUAGUAAUCGUGUCUCAAAAUGGCACGGUGAAUAUGUCCCUGCUCCUU
rnacentral:rRNA from 1 species